GAGCUUGCUCUUAUGAAGUUAGCGGCGGACGGGUGAGUAACACGUGGGUAACCUACCCAUAAGACUGGGAUAACUCCGGGAAACCGGGGCUAAUACCGGAUAAUAUUUUGAACUGCAUAGUUCGAAAUUGAAAGGCGGCUUCGGCUGUCACUUAUGGAUGGACCCGCGUCGCAUUAGCUAGUUGGUGAGGUAACGGCUCACCAAGGCGACGAUGCGUAGCCGACCUGAGAGGGUGAUCGGCCACACUGGGACUGAGACACGGCCCAGACUCCUACGGGAGGCAGCAGUAGGGAAUCUUCCGCAAUGGACGAAAGUCUGACGGAGCAACGCCGCGUGAGUGAUGAAGGCUUUCGGGUCGUAAAACUCUGUUGUUAGGGAAGAACAAGUGCUAGUUGAAUAAGCUGGCACCUUGACGGUACCUAACCAGAAAGCCACGGCUAACUACGUGCCAGCAGCCGCGGUAAUACGUAGGUGGCAAGCGUUAUCCGGAAUUAUUGGGCGUAAAGCGCGCGCAGGUGGUUUCUUAAGUCUGAUGUGAAAGCCCACGGCUCAACCGUGGAGGGUCAUUGGAAACUGGGAGACUUGAGUGCAGAAGAGGAAAGUGGAAUUCCAUGUGUAGCGGUGAAAUGCGUAGAGAUAUGGAGGAACACCAGUGGCGAAGGCGACUUUCUGGUCUGUAACUGACACUGAGGCGCGAAAGCGUGGGGAGCAA
rnacentral:rRNA from 1 species